rnacentral:rRNA from 1 species
AGAGUUGAUCAUGGCUCAGGAUGAACGCUAGCGGCAGGCUUAACACAUGCAAGUCGAGGGGCAGCGGGAUGUAGCAAUACAUUGCCGGCGACCGGCGGAUGGGUGCGUAACGCGUAUGCAACCUACCUUAUACAGGGGAAUAACCUUUCGAAAGGGAGACUAACACCCCAUAGUAUUGAUUUAAGGCAUCUUAGAUUAAUUAAAUAUUUAUAGGUAUAAGAUGGGCAUGCGUAUGAUUAGCUAGUUGGUAAGGUAACGGCUUACCAAGGCGACGAUCAUUAGGGGUUCUGAGAGGAAGGUCCCCACACUGGUACUGAGACACGGACCAGACUCCUACGGGAGGCAGCAGUGAGGAAUAUUGGUCAAUGGGCGCAAGCCUGAACCAGCCAUGCCGCGUGCAAGGAAGACGGCCUUAUGGGUUGUAAACUGCUUUUACAUAAGACUAACCGUAUAUUUGCGAAUAUACCUGAAUGUAUUAUGAGAAUAAGGAUCGGCUAACUCCGUGCCAGCCGCCGC